rnacentral:rRNA from 1 species
UACGUAGGGGGCAAGCGUUGUCCGGAAUCAUUGGGCGUAAAGCGCGUGUAGGCGGCCUUGUAAGUCCGUUCUGAAAGCCCGGGGCUCAACCCCGGGAGGCGGAUGGAUACUGCAAGGCUCGAGUACGGAAGAGGCGAGUGGAAUUCCCGGUGUAGCGGUGAAAUGCGCAGAUAUCAGGAAGAACACCAAUGGCGAAGGCAGCUCUCUGGGACGGUACUGACGCUGAGACGCGAAAGCGUGGGGAGCGAACAGG